UGCUAUACAUGCAAGUCGAACGCUUUGUGGUUCAACUGAUUUGAAGAGCUUGCUCAGAUAUGACGAUGGACAUUGCAAAGAGUGGCGAACGGGUGAGUAACACGUGGGAAACCUACCUCUUAGCAGGGGAUAACAUUUGGAAACAGAUGCUAAUACCGUAUAACAAUGACAACCGCAUGGUUGUUAUUUAAAAGAUGGUUCUGCUAUCACUAAGAGAUGGUCCCGCGGUGCAUUAGCUAGUUGGUAAGGUAAUGGCUUACCAAGGCGAUGAUGCAUAGCCGAGUUGAGAGACUGAUCGGCCACAAUGGGACUGAGACACGGCCCAUACUCCUACGGGAGGCAGCAGUAGGGAAUCUUCCACAAUGGGCGAAAGCCUGAUGGAGCAACGCCGCGUGUGUGAUGAAGGGUUUCGGCUCGUAAAACACUGUUGUAAGAGAAGAAUGACAUUGAGAGUAACUGUUCAAUGUGUGACGGUAUCUUACCAGAAAGGAACGGCUAAAUACGUGCCAGCAGCCGCGGUAAUACGUAUGUUCCAAGCGUUAUCCGGAUUUAUUGGGCGUAAAGCGAGCGCAGACGGUUAUUUAAGUCUGAAGUGAAAGCCCUCAGCUCAACUGAGGAAUUGCUUUGGAAACUGGAUGACUUGAGUGCAGUAGAGGAAAGUGGAACUCCAUGUGUAGCGGUGAAAUGCGUAGAUAUAUGGAAGAACACCAGUGGCGAAGGCGGCUUUCUGGACUGUAACUGACGUUGAGGCUCGAAAGUGUGGGUAGCAAACAGGAUUAGAUACCCUGGUAGUCCACACCGUAAACGAUGAGUGCUAGGUGUUUGAGGGUUUCCGCCCUUAAGUGCCGCAGCUAACGCAUUAAGCACUCCGCCUGGGGAGUACGACCGCAAGGUUGAAACUCAAAGGAAUUGACGGGGACCCGCACAAGCGGUGGAGCAUGUGGUUUAAUUCGAAGCAACGCGAAGAACCUUACCAGGUCUUGACAUCCCUUGACAACUCCAGAGAUGGAGCGUUCCCUUCGGGGACAAGGUGACAGGUGGUGCAUGGUUGUCGUCAGCUCGUGUCGUGAGAUGUUGGGUUAAGUCCCGCAACGAGCGCAACCCUUAUUACUAGUUGCCAGCAUUCAGUUGGGCACUCUAGUGAGACUGCCGGUGACAAACCGGAGGAAGGUGGGGAUGACGUCAAAUCAUCAUGCCCCUUAUGACCUGGGCUACACACGUGCUACAAUGGCGUAUACAACGAGUUGCCAACCCGCGAGGGUGAGCUAAUCUCUUAAAGUACGUCUCAGUUCGGAUUGUAGGCUGCAACUCGCCUACAUGAAGUCGGAAUCGCUAGUAAUCGCGGAUCAGCACGCCGCGGUGAAUACGUUCCCGGGUCUUGUACACACCGCCCGUCACACCAUGAGAGUUUGUAACACCCAAAGCCGGUGGGGUAACCUUCGGGAGCCAGCCGUCUAAGGU
rnacentral:rRNA from 1 species